AGUGAACGCUGGCGGUAGGCCUAACACAUGCAAGUCGAACGGCAGCACAGUAAGAGCUUGCUCUUAUGGGUGGCGAGUGGCGGACGGGUGAGGAAUACAUCGGAAUCUACUUUUUCGUGGGGGAUAACGUAGGGAAACUUACGCUAAUACCGCAUACGACCUACGGUUGAAAGCAGGGGAUCUUCGGACCUUGCGCGAUUGAAUGAGCCGAUGUCGGAUUAGCUAGUUGGCGGGGUAAAGGCCCACCAAGGCGACGAUCCGUAGCUGGUCUGAGAGGAUGAUCAGCCACACGGGAACGGAGACACGGUCCAGACUCCUACGGGAGGCAGCAGUGGGGAAUAUUGGACAAUGGGCGCAAGCCUGAUCCAGCCAUACCGCGUGGGUGAAGAAGGCCUUCGGGUUGUAAAGCCCUUUUGUUGGGAAAGAAAAGCAGCAGGUUAAUACCCCGCUGUUCUGACGGUACCCAAAGAAUAAGCACCGGCUAAGUUCGUG
rnacentral:rRNA from 1 species